rnacentral:rRNA from 21 species
AGGUGCAUGCCUCUAGCAUGAAGUCAGACAAGUGA